AUUGAACGCUGGCGGCAGGCCUAACACAUGCAAGUCGAACGAGUGGCGGACGGGUGAGUAAUGUCUGGGAAAGUGCGUGAUGGAGGGGGAUAAGUACUGGAAACGGUAGCUAAUACCGCAUACCAUCGGAUGUGCCGAGGUGGGAUUAGCUAGUCGUGGGGGUAUCGGCUCACCAAGGGGACGAUCCCUAGCUGGUCUGAGAGGAUGACCAGCCACACUGGAACUGAGACACGGUCCAGACUCCUACGGGAGGCAGCAGUGGGGAAUAUUGCACAAUGGGCGAAAGCCUGAUGCAGCCAUGCCGCGUGUGUGAAGAAGGCCUUCGGGUUGUAAAGUACUUUCAGCUGGGAGGCGUUACCUACAGAAGAAGCACCGGCUAACUCCGUGCCAGCAGCCGCGGUAAUAC
rnacentral:rRNA from 1 species